AUCCUCUUGAGCCCCUUCCCCAUUGUGGAUGAGAAGCCUCUGCAGCUUUCCAGACUGUCAUUCAGGUUCUUGGAUUAGACUCUAUCACAAAGACCACCAAAGCUGUUAUUGUCAAGUUUCCAAAGUACUUUCCCCACAAGGGAUCUUUGAAGUGAGGAAACUGAGGCCCAGGGAGAAAAAUAUUUGCUCACUGCUAGCACAAAACAGAACAUAGCAGGAAGGGAGACUGGGGUAAGGGGAAGUCCUGUCUGUUCAGCCAUCUGUCUCCUAACACCUCCCACUCCCUGAAGAACUCUGUGUGUCUAUUGUUUAUAGACACACACAUCAUUCAUCUUUCUUCUCCCAUCACCCACCCUCCGAGGGGAAAAAAUGGUCAAAAGAGAAUGUUUUGGCAAACUAUGAACUUCUUCAGGGUGACUGAAAGUGGAUAAAACAGAUGCAUUGAUUUGGAAACAGUAAAUUGGAGUCAAUUGUAUGUGUGUAUCUGUAAAACUUAGUUCUGGGAAUAACUUGGCUUACAGUUUUCUUGGUGUGACAGAAAUGGGUUCAGGGACCAGGGGUCCGGGCAGGGGAAGGAGGAUGUAGAAAGGGGAGAUAUCCAAGAUAAGGGAUCAGAUAGGGAGAAGGGUUGGUCUGAGGAAAAGGGUAGUGGAAGGAGCAAGAAUUGUCAUGUUG